GCCCCCUUGGCGGAAUUGGCAGACGCACGGGACUUAAAAUCCCGAGACUUAACAGUCGUCCCGGUUCGAGUCCGGGAGGGGGCACCA
rnacentral:tRNA from 2 species